GGCAACACUCCUUUUGCGCCAAUUACUGUUUUUCGGGGGUAUCAUUUGCGCCAAAUUUUUUUUUCCAAAUGUAUCAAUUGCGCCAGUUUUCGGAACUCAUUUGCGCCAAUUUACCUGAACACAUAUUGAUCGUACAUAUUAAAGAUUAAUAUAUAUUUAGUAUCAUUUUUGUCUGAGUGGAAAUCUUGCACAUAUACAUGAGACAGAUCCACAAAAGUUAGAGCGUCAAAUACUACGAACAGCAUGCAUAUGUUCUGAGCUAUUCCACCACGAAGAGAAACAUCUACAGAAAAAUGACUUGAAGUGCAUAAGACAGUCUAUGUACAGAGAGAGAAGAUAACUAGCUGUACCCUGCCCAACCAAAAAGUUCAGUAGAAUUUCAAGAAAUUUUAAGUGAGGAAGAGUGAUCACAAAUAAAGAAGAAGAGUUUGUUUUAGUAAAUUAUAUUGAAAGUGGCAUUGUUAUUCUCGGUGGUAAAGCUAACUUGAAAUUUCUUUGUAUGCGGGGCAGAUGAUGUUUUUGCUGAUGGAACAUUUAAGGGUUGUCCGAAGUAUUUCCAGCAAUUGUAUACAAUACAUGGAUUCAGGAAUGGACAUUUAAUUUAUAUUCCACUUUUGGAUUGCCUUUUGCCUUCUAAAUCAGGAAACUGUUUCUUUGUUUAAGGAAUGUUUUUCUUUAAAUUGGCGCAAUCGUAUAUUCUAUUUUUGGCGCAAAUGAUACCAUGUAAUUUAUAAACAGGUGGCGCAAACGUAGCAUUAGAGAAAAAAAGUUGUAGCGCAAAAGGACGCAUUUUUGGCGCAAACGGAUGUCUCCCG
rnacentral:lncRNA from 1 species